CCUCAGCUAUGUCUGAGCCACUGUGAUGUCACAAACAUUUUGAGUUUUCCCCUCUUGUACCUCACAGUGCUUUGGUCCUGCUUGAAGGUCUCCCUGCUACACUUAUUGUAGUAAGGCUUUCCUCUGUGUAUACAUAUCCUUACAAGUACAAUUUUAGCUGUAUUAUUUGUGUCCCCUUCAAAAAUCAACAGUGAUUUUUGACAGAGGACAGAGUUCUUCACGAGUACAACCGUUUAUGGAGAGCGAGCAGGUCUACGACGUCCCUCACAGUAAACCCCCAAAAUCCAGCACCAACACGGCGGAGAAAAAACAUUCUCAUCGGCCUGAUGAGAAGCCUGGUUGUGUUGCUGAGGGAAUCGUUCAUCUCUCCUCUGAAAGAGGAGAAGAGGAGGAAGAAAAAGAAAGUGCGCCACUUCAAGUGGCUCUCUUACCGUUUGAUGAAAGAAUUAAAAUCCUACAGGAACCCUUCUGUCCCUUACGAUCAAAAGCCUCUGUAGAUCUGUAGAGGUUAUUGACUACGAGGUUCUUCAAGUCCAAAACACGGAAUAUGUCAGCAUUCCUGAUCAUUCACUAGCCCGUUCCCAAAGAAGUCACCCUGACAAUCCUGGCCAAUAAAAGCCCAGUGAUGGACAUUAUUAGGCUUUUGGACUGGCAGAACCAGCAGAACUUCUACGUCAUGGUCGCCCAGUGUUUCUCGCGCUAAAAACGUGUUUCACUUUGUGGAACACAACAGAGGCAGCACUGGGAAUCCUUCAAUGCUGUAUGGAUACUUUCCAGAUAGUUUCGACUUCUACAGGACCAACAUGAACACCUGGUCCAAACCUGGCUUGACAGAAGGUGAGUCCUUCUCCACAAAUUCAAUUCUAAUACAAAACUUCAUGGGCUUUAUAGGAGAUAACCAUAUGGAUAAUGCAGGAAUUUCUGCACAGAAUGCUGACAUUUGAUCUGCUACCUUCUGCAGCAAAAGCCAGAGCGUCUGCUCUUUUGUCUUCCAGGCAGAAUCAUCCAUCCACUUUAACAUUUUGCAGGGCGAGGAAGCCCUGGUAGUGUUUUGUGCCUUUGGCUUGCGGUAAUAUUAACGACUGGUGAUGUUGCUUGAUGAAGGAUGUGAAAAUUGAUGUACUUUUGUAAAUAAUUGAAGAAUUUAUUACUUCAUCUGAAUGGCCACAGAGCUUCCAGCCAGAGCACUCACAGAGAUCUACUGUUUAGUCCAAAAAAAAAAGUUACCAUAUGUGUGAAAAGUGCACCUAACUAAAACUUAUAUAUUUUACAUUUUAUAUUAACAGAUUGAAACACUGGACAUUAGUCUUGCAGAAAAAACAUUAAUUAAACAAAAAAAAAAAAAACUCAAUCACAAGAUCAAAGAUGCUCUCAGAAGACUAAGAGAAUGAUUUUAUUUUGAUGAUGUUAAAUGAGAUUGAUGAUAUUGGUCAUAAAUAAUAAAAAAUCAAAACAAUUAUUUGUUUUGUUUUGUAUUUCUCAGGGGGGACUGUUAAGUAAUAUCCGCUCCUAUUACAGAAAAGAUGAAUACUUUUCAAGAAAAAGUGUGAACCACAUUAUUCAUCCUGCUACAUUAGAGCAGUGGUUUCAAAACCCUGUUUCUAGAGCUUCAUCAAUAUUGCUCAUUUUGUAUGUUUACCUAAUCAAACACACCUGAUUCAGAUCAUCAGCUCAGUACAGACUCAAAGACCUCAAACGGGUGUCACACAUACUGUAAAAGACAUUCACUGUUUUCACAAAUGCAUGUUUUUGUAGUUUACAGAGAUGAUAAUGGUGUCAUUUUCAAAAACUUGAAGUUUGAAACACGUUUUCAAAAGUUUGUUUUCAGGCCCUCAAAACAUUGUGUAAAUGUAAAAAGUUUUCCAUUUUUAGUUGAAAACAUUGUCGUGUAAAUGCCCCUUAAGUCUAGAAUAAAAAAGUGGAUGGGCUUAGACCAGUUAUAGGCCUGUUUUAAAUUAACCAUUCAGUUGGACAAUAAUGCAAUGAUGAUAAUCUUGGAUAUGUGAGAAAAUCUACAUAAUUUAAACUAUCACUUUUAUAUCAGUUCUUAAUUACUGAAAUCAGCAUAUUUGAGAUAUUAAAUUGAUUUCCAAGGUGUUUUUUUAAGUAAAGAAAGGGCAAUUUUUUCACAUUUUUUCCUAAUUAAAUUAAAAUGUUUGCAUAUCAAAUUCUUACAUUUCAUUAAUGAAUUUACAUUUACAUUGCAAAAUUACAACGGUAUGAAUAAUGUUAUGAGCUUAGUGUUUUAAAUAAUUUUUAUUAUACAAACAUGAAAAGUUGUAAAAAUGCAAUACUUUAAA
ensembl:lncRNA